rnacentral:rRNA from 1 species
AGUGAACGCUGGCGGUAGGCCUAACACAUGCAAGUCGAACGGCAGCACAGUAAGAGCUUGCUCUUACGGGUGUCGAGUGGCGGACGGGUGAGGAAUACAUCGGAAUCUACUUUUUCGUGGGGGAUAACGUAGGGAAACUUACGCUAAUACCGCAUACGACCUACGGGUGAAAGCAGGGGAUCUUCUGACCUUGCGCGAUUGAAUGAGCCGAUGUCGGAUUAGCUAGUUGGCGGGGUAAAGGCCCACCAAGGCGACGAUCCGUAGCUGGUCUGAGAGGAUGAUCAGCCACACUGGAACUGAGACACGGUCCAGACUCCUACGGGAGGCAGCAGUGGGGAAUAUUGGACAAUGGGCGCAAGCCUGAUCCAGCCAUACCGCGUGGGUGAAGAAGGCCUUCGGGUUGUAAAGCCCUUUUGUUGGGAAAGAAAAGCAGCAGGUUAAUACCCCGCUGUUCUGACGGUACCCAAAGAAUAAGCACCGGCUAACUUCGUG